UGAGGAACAUGACCUUCGGCGGGGGAUAGCCGGCCCAACGGCCGGGUAAUACCGCGUACGACCACUCGGGGACAUCCCUAGGUGGUGAAAGCAGCAAUGCGCCGAUGGAGUGCCUCGCGGCCUAUCAGCUAGUUGGUGAGGUAACGGCUCACCAAGGCGACGACGGGUAGCUGGUCUGAGAGGAUGGCCAGCCACACUGGGACUGAGACACGGUCCAGACUCCGUACGGGAGCAG
rnacentral:rRNA from 1 species